GAUGAACGCUGGCGGCGUGCCUAAUACAUGCAAGUCGAGCGAACAGAUGAGGAGCUUGCUCCUCUGACGUUAGCGGCGGACGGGUGAGUAACACGUGGAUAACCUACCUAUAAGACUGGGAUAACUUCGGGAAACCGGAGCUAAUACCGGAUAAUAUAUUUAACCGCAUGGUUCAAUAGUGAAAGACGGUUUUGCUUUCACUUAUAGAUGGAUCCGCGCCGCAUUAGCUAGUUGGUAAGGUAACGGCUUACCAAGGCAACGAUGCGUAGCCGACCUGAGAGGGUGAUCGGCCACACUGGAACUGAGACACGGUCCAGACUCCUACGGGAGGCAGCAGUAGGGAAUCUUCCGCAAAGGGCGAAAGCCUGACGGAGCAACGCCGCGUGAGUGAUGAAGGUCUUCGGAUCGUAAAACUCUGUUAUUAGGGAAGAACAAAUGUGUAAGUAACUAUGCACGUCUUGACGGUACCUAAUCAGAAAGCCACGGCUAACUACGUG
rnacentral:rRNA from 1 species